UGUCGUCAGCUCGUGUUGUGAAAUGUUGGGUUAAGUCCCGCAACGAGCGCAACCCUUAUCCUUUGUUGCCAGCGAUUAGGUCGGGAACUCAAAGGAGACUGCCAGUGAUAAACUGGAGGAAGGUGGGGAUGACGUCAAGUCAUCAUGGCCCUUACGACCAGGGCUACACACGUGCUACAAUGGCGCAUACAAAGAGAAGCGACCUCGCGAGAGCAAGCGGACCUCAUAAAGUGCGUCGUAGUCCGGAUUGGAGUCUGCAACUCGACUCCAUGAAGUCGGAAUCGCUAGUAAUCGUGGAUCAGAAUGCCACGGUGAAUACGUUCCCGGGCCUUGUACACACCGCCCGUCACACCAUGGGAGUGGGUUGCAAAAGAAGUAGGUAGCUUAACCUUCGG
rnacentral:rRNA from 2 species